GUGGUGGCUCAGCGCUAGAGUGCUUGCCUAGCACGAGCGAGGCCCUGGGUUCAAUCCUCAGCACCACA
rnacentral:tRNA from 1 species